rnacentral:pre_miRNA from 1 species
UCUUCAUUUCACACACACUCUCACCGGUCCGAGAGAGACGAGAGAGUGUGUGAAAUGAAGAGA